GCUACAGUGUGUAGGAUUUAGGGGUAUUUAUUAGCUGAAAUUGACCAGUGCACUGGCUAUGUCCAUUGUCAACUUAGUGCGGGGUGCUCUACGUGGCUACAUCCAUGUAACUUAACAUCAUGGUCUCCAAGUGUGAUGCAGGGUUGCUGAAGUUGGGGGGUGAACUGAGAUGGUACUACUCUGGGUUCCACUGCACUGCAGGUAUAUUUGAAGAUUAUAAAUCCCUGUAUUUAGAAUGACUCUGGGGAAAGCUCCAGUGACUGCAGGCAGGGAAAGCUCUGCUGACGGCAGGGAAAGACAGGAAGCUGCAC